CGUACCUUCACCAUGGGAAUCGUCUUGUUACGUAAGACCUUAUUAGUCAAGCUGGGAAUUUUUGCAGGAACCUCCUCAUAGGUCAUUUCGGCCUGUACCUAUGCUUCAUCACAAUGAAUAACAUGAGAAGGAUUAGGGUGGUACUUCUUAAGCAUCGAGACAUGAAAGAUAUCAUGUAAACCUGUGAACUCCCAAGAUAGAGUGAGGUGGUAAGCCAUGGGUCUAAUGCGCUCGACGAUAAAAAAAGGUCCCACAUAUCGAUGGCUCAACUUUCUUC
rnacentral:lncRNA from 1 species